rnacentral:rRNA from 1 species
UAGCGGCGGGCUUACACACUGCAGUCGAGGGGCAACAUGAGGUCUAUGUUUUUAGAUUUCGAUGGCGACCGGCGAACGGGUGCGUAACACGUACGUAACUUACCUUUUGCUAGAAAAUAGCCUGAGGAAACUUGGAUUAAUAUUCUAUAACAUAGUAUUAUUGCAUGAUAAUAUUAUUAAAGCAGAUAUGCGGCAAAAGAUAGGCGUGCGUCUGAUUAGUUAGUUGGUAGGGUAAAAGCCUACAAAGACAAUGAUCGGUAGGGGGCCUGAGAGGGUGAUCCCCCACACUGGUACUGAGAUACGGACCAGACUCCUACGGGAGGCAGCAGUGAGGAAUAUUGGUCAAUGGAGGAAACUCUGAACCAGCCACGCCGCGUGCAGGAAGAAGGCCCUAUGGGUUGUAAACUGCUUUUGUAUAGGAAUAAAAAUUCUUACGAGAUAAGAAUCAUGAAGGUACUAUACGAAUAAGUGUCGGCAAACUCCGUGACCAGCAGCCGCGGUAAUACGGAGGACACAAGCGUUAUCCGGAUUUAUUGGGUUUAAAGGGUGCGUAGGCGGUUUAUUAAGUCAGUAGUGAAAUGUUGCAGCU